UAUUAAAUAAAUUAACAUUUUGCUUCAUAAAUCAAUUACUUAUUCAGCAGCAGAAAAUUGGGCUGAUACUUGACUGAUCUGAUUCGAGUUUCCUAGUCGGAGACCAGUUAAAAUCAUGAACCAAGCCCCUGAAGCCUAGGCCGGAAGGAAACAGACUCUACGUUUGAAAAUGCCUCCCGGCUCGCUCGCUCCUGGAAAAUUUAAAUGAUAAAGGAUAUUGUAAUAUAUCUGCAUAGUAUGGCAUAUGCUAUCUUUAUUCAAGUCGUUUUGGAGCGAUGAAUGUUGACUGCAGUACGUGUAUAGUGAAGGGCAACCAGCACGGCCAUGCAGCGAUCCUGCCAAUGAUUUAAUCGAGGCUACCACGCGCUGCGCGCGCCGAAUAAAGCUUUGAAUUUUUCAAUCCACGUGUUUCCCUGGUACUCAUCAAACGCCUAGCAUUGAUGUGCAUCCGCCAGGUACCAGCCGAUUUUCAGUCGGCCAUGUUUGAUUUUUCGCCGAAACUGGGAAUUUUGACACGUUUGGUCAUCCAAUUUUCGAGAACUUUUUACGCCGUAAAUGACUUUUAUGAGCCUUGCAAUUACAGUAAUUUGAUGAAUUAAUGGUCCGCCAACUUGAAGAGACUGACCUUUGUGAACCAUGCUGAGGCUGGAUUGGAUGGACCAGACCAGUGCCUGGACUAUCGUGAAUGACUGCCUGCUGAGGCUUUUCCCCAGCGACAUCAAAGCCAUUCACACCGUAGCCGAUGAUGCCCUGGCCUGGAUGUCUACCCUUGGCCUACAACUGUAGGCUGUGCACGCCAUACGAAAGAAGAAGUGCCUAGGCUAGGCAAGACACUGAGGACAGGCUGGAUGACCAUCAUCAUGGUGACUGGGAUGACCUUAAGGGUGAGUCAAAUCAAGAAUGCAACCUGCUCCAUCAAAACACAUCACAAUGUGCACCAAUGAACCUCAGAUUUCCCUUGUAAAUGAAAUUAUGUCAGUACAAGACCAUAAUUCUCUCACUUGAUUCUUGUGAAUUUGAUUUUUGUCCUCUUCUGAUUGAAAGAACUUUUGAUACUUUUACCUGUAGCAUCCUGGACAAUACAUUGUAAUUUGAAGAA